rnacentral:lncRNA from 1 species
AAAAAUUAAAUGAAAUUGAACACCAUAAAUCUGAUCUUAGAAUAAUAAGAAAAGAAAAAAUGAGGGAUAUUAUAUCAGGUCAAAAAUGCAAUGGAUUGAAGAAGGGGAAAAGCCAUCUAGUUUUUUUGAAUAUGGAAACUAAACAUUUUAUAAAUAAAACCAUCCCCAAACUAGUUAACGAAAAAGGGGAGACAAUUUGUAAACAAGAUAAAAUAUUAGAAGAGGCCAAAAAUUACUAUAAAAAACUGUAUACUAAAACAGAAAGCUUGAGUAAAGUAAAUCUUAAUAGUGAAAUACCUGAUUCUGAUAUUAAAAAAUUAAAUGAUACUUUAAAAGAAUCUUUAGAGGGG